CGCUCACGUGCGCAGCUCAGGCCAAUCAGGAGCGGGAAUGAUGACAUCACCUCGCCGUGUUUACAGUCGGUAUUGGUGAACCCGGGGCCACGGCGAGAGCCCGGGCCCGCGUCUCCGGGCCGGGGGCUCCCGAGCUCCGUCGCCCGCCAGCGCAGGGGCCGGUGUCCCGCCCGGGAAGGGGAGCGGCCCGGCCGGGGAAACGCGCCACGACGCGGGGAAGUUUGAGGGAAGCGCGUGCCUCUGAACCUCUCAGCCCCACACACUCAAGACAGAGGAGCUUCCCCAUCAUUAGGACAAAAGGAAGGCAUGACAGAACCUCGUUCUUUCCAUCAAAUUCCCGCCCUCUCCCAUUUCUGCACAGCCACCCUCAGAUCUGCUCUAUUGAACAGCCAUCACCAGCAGAACUGGAGAGGAGAAUAAACGACCCAGAAAGAGCUGUGAGUGACCGUCUCACUUUACGUCUUCUGUAGAGCUGAGUCAUCAGGCCCCUCCAAUGUUGCUUAUGAAAAGGAUGAUUCACCCCCUGGCUGUGGCUGUAGGUUGCCCCAGCUCCCAGUUCUAGUGGGAACUUCCUGUGCUUCUGGGAUUAUUACUAUGAGACACCAUACUGAACAGAGAAAAUCACUUGAUUUAGCCAGACGUUGGGGUAAGGAGAAAGUUGUUUCAAAAAAGUAAAUUGGCUGGUUUAAUCUACAAACAGGUAAUAAGGAAACAGUUGUUUAUAGCUUAAAAACUCAGAAGAUUUUUUUCCAAACAUCUUAGUGUAAAAUUUAGUAAGACGAAGGGGCUCAACCAGGAAAGUACUUCAGGUGCCUGCUGCCCUGCCUCCCCAGGCCUUGUCCACACUAAGGACAUUUUCUAAAAAAUCCUUUAGUUGCUAACACUACUGGGAUAUUUUCAGAAAGUGUCCUUAGUGUAGACUGACUCUUUGGACAAUAUCACUCCCACAAACAAUUGAACCCUCUCAGAAAAAGCAUUUUUGGUGUCACAUAUUGUAUUACUGUCAGCAGAAAGUCUCACACUCCACUUAAAACCUUAAAAGUAAAACUGGCAGAUUUUUGCUUUUGAAGCAAACACACAAAAUCCAACUUCUUACCCCGUUUCCCUAGUCCUGUCUGCUUUCGCCUCCCAUUUACAGACUGCCUGCAUUCACUGGAUCUCUGGAGAAAGUAUUUGUUGAUAAUUCUUAUCAUACAAUUUCUUUGAACUUACAUGAAUGCUUGAGUGAGUGAGAAUGAUUCACAAAGAGGAGAUGACAAUCUCUUUGGUGCUUUAAAAAUAACCACACUUUAAAUUAUUCCUGUUCACCUUCAUAUCCCCAAACUCACUUACAGUAACAGGCCCAGCAAUACAUACUUACAUUUGAUUAUUGUACUAUGUCUAUCUCCUUAGGCAUUCAGAAUCUCAUCCUGCUCCCAGUGAUAUCAAUGACACUACUCCCACUGACUUGUGGUACAGAGCUGAUCUAUGUUAGGUAUCUCCUGACAUAAUUAAGCUCCUACGGGCAAAUUCCAAGGAAUGUGAUGUGGAGCACAUUAGUUAAUCCAAAAAGGAAUUACCAGUAAGGACAGGACAAAUGUGAUCAGCUCCAGCAAAGAUUCCUUUCUAAAUAGUGUGGCAUGUUUUAAUCAUCAAUCAUAGAAUAAACACAGACUUUCCAGAGGAAAUCAUGUCUGAAUAUGAAGCAAAACAAACUCACAAGACAAAAUCCAGGAUACAAAAUGAAAUAGUCCAUGCUGCAACUCUGCCACAUAGCCUUUGCUUAGAAAAAUAGAAAAAAAGUCAACUCAGAAAACUCAUUAAAAUAAAUAAUAUAAAGAUGUCCAGAAAAAAAACACCUUAUCAUGCCGCAUGCCCCCAAAAGAUCACAAACAACACAAGAAUGAAAGAGACAAUAUGGAUCUUAGCAGAAAAAUAAACACUGAGCAUCCACGCUGACUGACCUGACAUAAAAUGGAAAUACCAAGCAGAAUGGCAUGAAUACAAAAAGUUGCUGUUUUAAACUUAAUAUUUUAUAUGAAUCUCAUGUGCAUACUACAGCUAACAGUAGCUCCAUAACAAAAAGCAAUAUUUACAUAAAAUAUAUACAUUACAUUCCUAUAAGGAGCAUCCCUGUUGUACAGACAUCAAAUUUUCAGCAAGUGCAUAAGAUGAACCAAUUAAAUUACAAAAUUUAAGAUUUAGAAGUAUAAAGUGAAAUUUGCAUCCAUCCACAUGAAGAGAGGAGCGCGGACUCUGACAGCACAAAAGCAACUGCUCAUUUCAAAUGUGUUAGACAGAUAGUAGGUUUGUGUGUCAAACCAAAGUUUGCUGGGCAACAGGGGAGCAGGGUUACUCCAUUGUAUAAAGGGAGCAGGAAUUCUGAAUCUAGAAUAUCUGUAAUCAGUUAAGAGUCCAAACAGCAAACUCAGAGGUUACCAUUAUUCCAGAGCCCCAAAACACCACAUUGUAGGGUCCCAUAACCAUCCCCAGGAGCCAGUAUAGGAUUACAUGCUAAGUGUAUAUUCAGUGAAUAUUCUUGCUUUCAGAGAAACCGCUCAAUGUUGUACAUACAUGCUCCACAAGGCAAUGCCAUCUGAAUUCCAAGAGUGCAAACAUAUUACUGAGAGAAGCAGUUCCUGAAUGACUACUGAGGUGAACAUUCACCAGUGUUAUUACCAGAUACAUUACACAAAUCACUAUUAUCAAGCUAUGUAAUGCCACACCAGUUUGGCUAAGAAAUGUCAAAGUUGCUACCACAGGGUGCUGCUUCAGCUACCCCAUGAGCAGUGCUACCUAGCACGCUUUCAUGGUCUCUCAGGCACAAAUGCACAUAAUCUCUUUCUUUUUCACCACAUGCACUUUCAAUCUUGUUCUCCUCCCCUCCCAUAUCUCAGACAUUCAGUGGGCAAACUCUCCUUACAAGGGAACCUCUCAUUCAACAGUUUAUAUUGCCUGUAACAGGCACAGGGAUUGGUUAUCUAGUGUGUGACAGGGUGCUGGGCAAAGGGUGACAGAUUCAGCUCUCAGUCACGCCAGCUCCUUGUUAGGGGAACAAAUUAGAGUGGGCUGGAGAUAGCCUGGCCCUAAUUGGGGAGAAGGAGACAGCUGCUACCUAGUUAGCCUGGGACUGCAUAAAAGCCUUGGGGAAGGAGGCCAGGGGAGGGCAGGAGAAAAGGCAGGGGAUGGAAGCAGGGUGGUAGCUCUCCCCUCCUGUCUGCAGCUGGUAAAGGGUUAUUUGUAUGUGGUGAAACAGUGGUGGGAACAAACCUAAGAAGAAGGUGCAUCACUGGUCACAAAAUCCAGGAUCUCGAGUGACUUUGUGAGCCCAGCAGAGACAGAAGAAAAGGGGCCCUGUCACACUCCCCUACAUAGAGGUAAGAGAAGAGUACAAGGUGUCCAGCUGGGAGGAAAUUGGUCCUUUCCUUUUCCCCAUGUGGUGCGAGUGUCAUUCCUUGUUUUAACUGUGUUCUAGGACUAGCCCCUUCUUUUGGGGAACUGAUGGCCUGUUGAGCUGCCUGUAAGCAAAGGGUUUGUAAUUCUGUUCUUUGCCAGCACCACAGUCCUGCUAUAGGAGACAGCUUAGUGACACUGCACAGACAAACGGAGGCAUUUCAGUGGUUCCCAAGUUCCGUUGCUAACUUCAGACAUAGGCAAAAUAUAACUACUAUAAAGGUGUCUGGGAAACGUCAACGCUCAUAUCACAGUGAAAGCAAGCGUCAGCGCUGCCAGGGUGUCAGACUGAGGGGAGCCUAAGGCUAAGCCCUCCCGCCCCAGCAUGUCUGAAGAAGGCCUUUGUAAUGGAACAUCAGUGUCCUAAUGACUGAACGCAUGUCACAGUCUUGAUGUGUAGUUAUCUCAGGAAGAAGCCAGGACUGAUACAGAAAAGGAAAAACUGUCUCCGCUCCCACCUCCAACUGUAGCCCCUUUACCCCUGUCUGCAUCUCCCCUGCCCGCCCCACGGCCCUGCUCCUAGCUCAGGAGCAUGGGGGUGUGGCCCUCAAAAGUUUGGGGACUGCUGUCCUAGAACUUGGGCUCAGUCAAGUGCAGAAAGCAGCUGUUUUUUAAUCAUCAAAUCAAAAUCCUGCAAAUUGGAACAAAUUCCAAAUGUCACCACAUGGAUAAGGAUAUUGUGCAGGAUAACGGUGGCUUUGUCCUCAAAGAGUGUCAGUUCUCUCAUCUUCAGUUACACUGUUAUGAGCAAAAUAGAUCACCUCAAAAGAAAUAAAUAGUUCCUUACCUCUUCUCUUCAGCUACACUACAGCCUUGCCUCUGCCUACGGUUUGUUCUAGGCCAUCUAUUGGGAAGAGUUUAACACAUCUGUUUCUUUAUCUAUAGCAUUUUAGUAUCUUAGAAUUCUAGAACUGGAAGGGACCUUGAGAGGUCAUCUAGUCCAGUCCCCUGCACUCAAGGCAGGAUUAAGUAUUAUCUAGACCAUCCCUGACAGGUGUUUGUCCAACCUGCUUUUAAAAAUUCCCAAUGGUGGGGAUUCCACAACCUUCCACAAAUCUUGUGGGUUCUUUAAAUUGAAUCAUUCAUUUUUUAAUCAAAACACACACUUGAUCUAUAAAACCUUUCAAUAUUAAUGCACCAAAAGUUGAUUUAAAAGAAAACCCUGCACCAUGUCCCUUAUGUGAUGCAUUUGACUUAGACAGUCCUUCUGAUUGCUUUUGUAACUUUCAUGGGUCAGGGAUCAUGACUUUCUAUGUUUGCAAGUUUGACACUCUGUACCCUAAAGUAACACCCUGGCACCUCCCACAUCUACCAGGGUGAUAUAAUUAUGAUGUGUUUUGUACAAAAUUAUGAUGUGAAGUUAUGAAGUUUUGCUAUGUAUGUGUUACUGAGGUUGGGAACACCCAUAUGCAGCCUUUCAGGUACAAUAAUGAAGACACCAGACAGUGUAGAUCAGUGUUUUUCAAAGUACGGGUCACGACCCAGUACUGGGUUGCGGAAUGUCAGGCACUGGGUCGCCUUGCUGAUUCAAAUUAUAACGACCGUUGCUGCACAGCAGCUCUAAAGGGCCAUGCAGCAGGGACCUGGAGAGAGAGAG